rnacentral:lncRNA from 1 species
ACCCUUGAAUGAAUAGGUGUGUCCAAACUUUUGACUGGUACUCUGUGCCUUCCUCGGCGCAUCCCAUGUUCUACCCUCUUCAAGAGGCCUUUAAGAUUGUAGAGCCCAACAUAUCGAGAGGUAGGCAAUGUUGUCUACCAAAACUCUACUGUUCUACAAACGUUAGCACCGGCAAAUGAGUCUAUCACAGUGGUGUAGUCAUGUCAACAAAAACCAUGACUGGUAAGAAGAGUGAAUUCGAUCUGCACUCAGAUCUCCCAAUAGUCAUAACUGUUUCCAUGGAUUACCCAGAAUGUAACUCUGAUGUUGAGGAACACUUCCAUUCCUGUUUGCAAUCCCCCAAUAACCUAUAUGAAACCCCAUAAGCAUACAUGAUCUGGGUUCAAAUACUAUUUGAAAUAAUCUCACACACUUUAGCAGGGCUUGAUUGAGCUUGCCUGGCACAGUGGAACCAAUAGAACAGUUGCAAAGCUGCAAAACCCACCCGUCUGGCACUUCAGUCUGACUAAACCAAACACUAAAAGUAUGGAAAGAUUUCAAAUAGUAUUUGAACCCAGGUCUGCAGUGCAUUAUGAAAAAGGCAGUCUGUGUGUGUGUGUGUUGUAAUAUGCAGUGUUAUAAAUGAUUCCACUGUGGAUAGGCGAGGCCUAUUUCUCUGUCUUCCUAUUAUCCCUGUGAGCCACCUCAUUUCCCCUUUCCUGAUAUAUGUGUCACCACGUACUGCUUUGUAAUUUACCAUCUGCAUAAGUGGACCGACCGCAUUUGUGUGAGUGUGUGUUUCUGUGUGUGUGUGUGUGUGUGUGUGUGUCGUCUGUGCGUGCGUACGUCUGUGUGUGUGUUUUGUAAACAGGUAAUGGUUCCUAGAAGUGGUGAUUACAGUGGCUCUUAUGGUUAACAACCAAGCAAGGUUGUUAUGGGUGUUAGUGCUCUUGUCUCAUCAGUCUCCAAUGUGUGUGUGUACGCGUGUAUUUAUGUGUGUAAGCGAUGUAGGCCAAGCGCUGUGAGCAGAAUGCGAGUUGACGAGCAUCUCCUCAGGCGACCUAGCCAAGCAGAUGGGGAAGGCUGUACAGUAUGUCAUUAAGUUACGGUGUAAAUAGCAGGAUGCACUGGGUAACAAACAGGAAGAAGGAGAGAUGGAGAAGGUGGAGGAGAGGAGAGAAGAAGAGAUAUAGAAAGAGAGUGGGAGAGGGCUAGCAGGAGAGAGCAGAAGCCUGGCGACGCUAAUUCGCCCAAAGUGAGACUGUGUAGCCUGUCUGGGGGUCUCACACACACACACACACACACACACACACACACACACACACACACACACACACACACACACACACACACACACACACACACACACACACAUACACCCCUAAUCCUGCUCCGCUUCCUUAUCACAGCCAUCAGUGGGUGAAGUCAUGUGUACCGGUAUGAGUCUGUACGAGCCUUUUUGCAGUCAGAUCAGAUCCGGUGAUGAGAGCUUCUCUACUGGACAUCUAGGAUGAACUCACUCACUCACGAUCAGCCCAUGGCCAUACACCCACUGAUCACCUAUUGAAUAUCAGACAUUGAUGUUUAAAAAAAAACGAUGGGUAUCUCUUUUUUAUGCCCGUUCAGAUUUCUGUAUGAUAUUCCUGAUGCAUGUUUGAGAGAACUCCUAUUACUAAUGCUUUACCAACGACCCCCUGCGAGCCCCUGCGAGCCCCUGUGAGCCAUGAUGGGAAAACUCGGUGAAAACAGGCCGGCAGAUGUACAGCUACAUAUACUAGAGCUGAAGCCUGAAUACUGGUCAAGUGGAAAUAGAGGCAGAGAGAGGAUCAUCACCGCUAGGGAGGGAUGAGGUUUUAUAGGUCAAACAACCGUUAUUCAAGAGACCUUUUAACAUGGUGACCUUUUGGUCAGCUGGCUAAGGUCAUUACCUAACACCUCUGGGUGAUAACCUGUGAGUGCGUGUUAAGGAUUUACACCCGGAUAAGACCAAACCGAAGCCCUACAUCCCGGCCCACCGCGCAGAAAUAGCACUCUGUCAUCAGUCACAACGCCGUUGUGGUCAGGGACCUUGGUGAGAAGUAACGGAUUGAUGCCCUGUCAAGACCAUGCCAGCCGUGUCAUAAAUAUCUGCUAGCGACUGCCAAUUGCUGUGUCACUGUUAGGCCUUCAGUGGUACCCGGCCCUGGGAGUUUCUUCUUUUUACCUCAGCU